rnacentral:sRNA from 12 species
AUAGGCUCGACAAAGUAACCCCUCGCGGGUGAAAUCAAUGCCUUUGCAAAAGGGGUGUGCAACCUUUCCGCAAAACGGAUAAAUAAAUACCCCGAUGUAGUCAAUCGGACGCUACUUGCAUUGCCGUCUAUUGUGGUAUGGCGGUUUAAUGGUUGGUACUACGGGCAAUCCGAACUCCACAACGAUAAUAAGAUUGUACGGGGUAUUUUCUAUCGAAAUGAACAGC